AAGGUCCCCUGGGGACAGGGCCUGCCUGCCCUCACCUGGGCGGCCUCCUGAGCCAGGCGCAGCUGGGCCGAGCAGUCGUGGGGCGCCGCGGGGGCCGGCAGCGAGAGGCCCUCGAAGACGCACUCCUGGGCCUGGGCCACCAUGAGCUG